AUAGAGUCUGGAGUUGUUCUAGAACACAUCAUAUGAUAUCAGGUCUGAUAGAGUCUGGAGUUGUUCUAGAACACAUCAUAUGAUAUCAGGUCUGAUAGAGCCUGGAGUUGUUCUAGAACACAUCAUAUGAUAUCAGGUCUGAUAGAGUCUGGAGUUGUUCUAGAACACAUCAUAUGAUAUCAGGUCUGAUAGAGUCUGGAGUUGUUCUAGAACACAUCAUAUGAUAUCAGGUCUGAUAGAGUCUGGAGUUGUUCUAGAACACAUCAUAUGAUAUCAGGUCUGAUAGAGUCUGGAGUUGUUCUAGAACACAUCAUAUGAUAUCAGGUCUGAUAGAGUCUGGAGUUGUUCUAGAACACAUCAUAUCAUAUCAGGUCUGAUAGAGUCUGGAGUUGUUCUAGAAC